rnacentral:misc_RNA from 1 species
GAUGAAGAACGCAGCGAAAUGCGAUAAGUAAUGUGAAUUGCAGAAUUCAGUGAAUCAUCGAAUCUUUGAACGCACAUUGCGCCCGCCAGUAUUCUGGCGGGCAUGCCUGUUCGAGCGUCAUUACAACCCUCAGGCCCCCGGGCCUGGCGUUGGGGAUCGGCGGAGCCCCCCGUGGGCACACGCCGUCCCCCAAAUACAGUGGCGGUCCCGCCGCAGCUUCCAUCGCGUAGUAGCUAACACCUCGCGACUGGAGAGCGGCGCGGCCACGCCGUAAAACACCCAACUCUUCUGAAGUUGACCUCGAAUCAGGUAGGAAUACCCGCUGAACUUAAGCAUAUCAAAAGCGGAGGA